rnacentral:piRNA from 1 species
UAAUCCAAUUUUAGUGGUGUCAUAAGGUGAC